rnacentral:rRNA from 1 species
CCUACGGGUGGCAGCAGUGAGGAAUAUUGGUCAAUGGACGAGAGUCUGAACCAGCCAAGUAGCGUGAAGGAUGACUGCCCUACGGGUUGUAAACUUCUUUUAUAUGGGAAUAAAACGUUCCACGUGUGGGAUUUUGUAUGUACCAUAUGAAUAAGGAUCGGCUAACUCCGUGCCAGCAGCCGCGGUAAUACGGAGGAUCCGAGCGUUAUCCGGAUUUAUUGGGUUUAAAGGGAGCGUAGGUGGAUUGUUAAGUCAGUUGUGAAAGUUUGCGGCUCAACCGUAAAAUUGCAGUUGAAACUGGCAGUCUUGAGUACAGUAGAAGUGGGCGGAAUGCGUGGUGUAGCGGUGAAAUGCUUAGAUAUCACGCAGAACUCCGAUUGCGAAGGCAGCUCGCUGGACUGCAACUGACACUGAGGCUCGAAAGUGUGGGUAUCGAACAGGAUUAGAUACCCGAGUAGUC